UCGUAUAAAAUUCGGGCCUUGUAUACC
rnacentral:sRNA from 1 species